UGUUCCUACGGGAGGCAGCAGUGGGGAAUAUUGCACAAUGGGGGAAACCCUGAUGCAGCGACGCCGCGUGAGUGAAGAAGUAUCUCGGUACGUAAAGCUCUAUCAGCAGGGAAGAAAAAAAGUCUUUGGCUUUGGACGGUACCUGACUAAGAAGCCCCGGCUAACUACGUGCCAGCAGCCGCGGUAAUACGUAGGGGGCAAGCGUUAUCCGGAAUCACUGGGUGUAAAGGGAGCGUAGACGGCUGAGCAAGCCUGAAGUGAAAGGCGGGGGCCCAACCCCCGGACUGCUUUGGGAACUGUACGGC
rnacentral:rRNA from 1 species